AGUGAACGCUGGCGGCGUACCUAAUACAUGCAAGUCGAAGGAAGUGGCGCACGGGUGAGUAAUAUAUAGCUAAUCUGCCCCUUGCUGGAGGACAACAGUUAGAAAUGACUGCUAAUACGCCAUAGCAAGGGAUGAGACUAUAUCGUAGCAGCUAGACGGUGUGGUAACGGCCUACCGAGGCUAUGACGCGUAACUGGUCUGAGAGGAUGAUCAGUCACAUUGGAACUGAAACACGGUCCAAACUCCUACGGGAGGCAGCAGUAGGGAAUAUUGCGCAAUGGGGGAAACCCUGACGAAGCAACGCCGCGUGGAGGAUGACACUUUUCGGAGCGUAAACUCCUUUUGUUAGGGAAGCUUUCCCUCUCUCCUAAGCACCGGCUAACUCCGUGCCAGCAGCCGCAGUCGUCC
rnacentral:rRNA from 1 species